rnacentral:tRNA from 1 species
GGAUUGUGGCUCAGUGGUAGAGCACUCACCCACCCAGCACGUGCGAGGCCCUGGGUUCAAUCCUCAGUACCA